UCUCCUUUGCCUUGUGUGUAGACAUUUGUGUGAAGUGUGUAAGGUUCUCCACUUGAAUUCCCUAAAAACUCGAAAUCUAUCUCGUCCCAUGUUGUUCCAGGUGAUUUCAACUGUUCAUAUACAAAAAACCAUUUCAGAUACAAGAACUUUAUAAUAUGCAAAAACGAAAAACAGAGAUUGUUUUGUUGAACUUACGUAAAGUGUUGUGACUGUUCCUGCGGAGUUUCCAGGGACAAGCUUCAUUUGCAUGGAGACUUUACCAAACAAGUACUCGUUUUUGGAUUGGAAUCCAGAACCAGAGGAUUUAUCUAGAGAUAAAGUGAGAAGCUC
rnacentral:lncRNA from 1 species